CCUGCCCAUACGAUACCCCCUACGAACAGCAGCUGAACAGCAGCUUUAUUACUUCGGAAGGAAUCGGUAUCCCAAACAAAAGAGCACCCUCACACACAACGAGAAGAUACAAAGGAAGGAUUAGGUGGAACGUUCCGUUCCUAAUCGCAUUUGCACUUCUUUAGAACGAUUACAUGUGGGCAUUCCAAACUUAUGGCACAGAACAUGCCGUGUGGGACAAAACCGGAGCCUCACCUGGCAGCAACAGCACCACAUACAGCUGCAUCCUACACAAAGCCACGACCAAGACACGCUCUGUGGUUACCAAUGCUCAAAGGCCAACAGGACGUUCCUGCAGUACCCGACCCCACAAGGUUCGCCGGUCGUUCCCGUUUCGUACCUUCUGAAUCUCCUCGGGCAGGGCGUGCACAGGGACGUGCCGCCGCAUGGCCUGCCGGAGCCGGGAACCCCAGAGCUCAGUCAGUCAGAGCGCGCUCUGCCCGGGAAAGGCCCUCUUCCCUCAGGAUCACGCAGGGAAUGCGGGACCGCAGCCCGGCUCGGGGGGGGGGACCAGGAGAAGGGAGAUAAAGAGAGGUAAUGGAGGGAGGGACGGCCUCUGAGCCCGCAAGCAGAGCCGCACCGCGCGGGAGAGGCCGAGGCCCGACAAGGCGCGAGCGCUGGGGGCGGCCAUUUCCCGGCCCCAACGGCUUCCUCCGUCACCACGGCAACGGCGCGUGCGUGCGGCGCGUGGCGGCGGCGCGCACACGCUGAGAGAUCGCGGAGCGGGCGGGAACGCACUCAGUGACCUCUGCCCCUCAGUAACCUCAGCCCCGCUGUGACGUCAUUUACCUGAAGCCCCCCCCCGGUUACUUCAGCCCUACAGUGACGUCAUUUACCUGAAGCCCCCCCGGUUACCUCAGCCCUACAGUGACGUCAUUUACCUGAGCCCCCCCGGUUACCUCAGCCCUACAGUGACGUCAUUUACCUGAGCCCCCCCGGUUACCUCAGCCCUACAGUGACGUCAUUUGCCUAAGCCCCCCGGUUACCUCAGCCCUACAGUGACGUCAUUUGCCUGAGCCCCCCGGUUACCUCAGGCCUACAGUGACGUCAUUUGCCUGAGCCCCCCGGUUACCUGAGCCUCACGGUUACCGGUGCCCCCCGUUACGUCGGCCCGCAGCGGGCUGGGUGUGCCCCCCGCUCCCCAGCCGCCGUGCUCGGCUGCCCCUCUGCCCGCAAAGCCCGCGGGCCGUCUGGCUGUGUUUUCCCCUCGGCCCGGGUCAGCGGCAUGUCAGAACGCGAGCCAUCUGCUCAACCUCUGCGUGAACCGGCUCCCGGCGAGACCCACUGAGUUUACGGCAAAGCGACCGAACGGCGUAAAUCAGAAAAAGAUGCGAGCGUCAGAAAGGCCGCCGAGGCCGCGGGAUGCCCCCCGGCGGGGUUCUCCCCGGGGCCGCCGCCGCCGCCUCGCGUGUGCCCCGCCGUGACCCGCUCCCGCGUUGCGUGCCGGCCCCGGGCCGCGCCGCGCGGUUAAUCCCCGGCUUGGCAGCGCCGGGUCGGCUCCCCGCGCCGCUCCGCGAGGCGGGGGAUAAGGAGCUUGCGUCCCCUCCCCGGGGCAGUCACCCCAAGUUAACGAAGUAAUCGCGCGGUCGCACGCAGAGGGAACAGAUGUCCAAAGGUCAGG
rnacentral:lncRNA from 1 species